GACGAACGCUGGCGGCGUGCUUAACACAUGCAAGUCGAACGGAGUGGCGAACGGGUGAGGAACACGUGGGUGAUCUGCCCUGCACUUCGGGAUAAGCUUGGGAAACUGGGUAUAAUUCCGGAUUGUGCAAGAUGAGCUCGCGGCCUAUCAGCUUGUUGGUGGGGUAAUGGACUACCAAGGCGUCGGCGGGUAGCCGGCCUGAGAGGGUGUACGGCCACAUUGCGACUGAGGUACGGCCCAGACUCCUACGGGAGGCAGCAGUGGGGAGUAUUACACAAUGGGCUGAAGCCUGAUGCAGCGACGCCGCGUGGGGGAUGAAGGCUUUCGGGUUGUAAACUCCUUUCGACAGGGACGCGGUACCUGUAUAAGAAGCACCGGCUAACUACGUGCCAGCAGCCGCGGUAAUAC
rnacentral:rRNA from 1 species